UCGGCUAGAAGAUUGUGAAAAGGAGCUUAGGAUGCAGUAGCGGAAGCUAUGGAUUCAGCAUUGGUUUAUGCUGAUGCUGAAAAACAAAUGAGGCAUGAAAAACAUUACAGAUACGUUAGCACUCACGAUGUCGCGUAUUGGGCCCGUAGCUUUUGGCAAGAUCUCGAGCGAUCAUGCCGGGAUCAUGUGAGGAGAGGGUGUUGGGGUAUCGGGUUUGGGUUAGGGUUCCGCGUUGUUGCAUUAGAUCCGAAUUUCCGAAAACUUUUGAUCGAACGUAUUGUUUCUUCUUACAAACGGACAAAAAAAGUGCCAUUUUGUUGGAUUACGAUGGUACCAUGACGCUGCAGAGUUCAAUCAGCACGGGCCCGAAUUCAGAAGUUAUAGAAAUAGUGAAUAGUUUGUGUCAAGACCCGAAAAAUGUUGUUUUUAUCGUUAGCGGGAAGGACCGUGUUACAUUGACCGAAUGGUUUUCUUCGUGUGAAAAAUUGGGCGUUGCAGCUGAGCAUGGUUAUUUCUUUAGAUGUCGGAUCCAUUAACAGCCCUAAUGCACGCAGUGCAAGUCAUGAACUAACCCACUCUGCAAUCCCUUUGGAACGCAACAUUGAUGUCAACUAACCCUAAUCGGCCCUCCCAUCAGUGGUGAAUGAAGAGAUUUAGGAUUUCUCCGGUGAGUUCAAGAUGCAAAAGUUGAGUGAUUUUAAUCGGACGCCAAAGAAGGUUUCCUAUUGUAGUUCCUUCCUAGCCGUCGCCAUCACCAUUAGCUCCAUAUCCGCCCUCAAUCAUGGCCAUCCAGUUCUCCACAAUCGAUGAUUCUACAAUCUACAUACUGUAAUUUCAUUUUCAAUUAACCCAUCUACGAUUAAAGCUCAUCCGAAUGGGGAUUUUCACCUCAAGAAUGAAGGAGCUCUUUGUGGUUCCGGCAACCGAGACGAGACCAAAAGUGGCACGAGACUUCGGGCAACUGUACUGUAAAUAAAUUGAGGUCAUGAAUCAUGACGGGAGUAGCAGAACAGGGUAUUCCUUCCUUCUAAUGACCUCCUUUUUCUUUAAGGUUUAAAUCACAUGUUUUGUAUCUCACAUUGAGAAGGCUCUCAAUUUAAAACUUUUUGAUGGAUGUAUGCAUAUUACUACUGCUUUGAGCACAUGGAUAACAUUGCUUAUAAAGUAGAGGCCAGAUAAUGAUAGGCUUUGCACCAGGUUCUUACUUCUUUGUAAAUAUAUGUGAAGCUUCAUAAAGGUACUUAGAAUGGUGUGGAUGUUGCUAUUAAACUUAUGAAAAAACAAAGAAUAAAUUGUUAAUUUCAAACGACUAUUUUUCAUAUUCAUAAUUUCUAAUGAUCAAUUUACAUUGGUAAUGAAAAGAAAUAAGUUAAUAAAAAUUAAGAGACACUCUAAAAUUCCUAAUGUAUAUAUGUUAUAUUAAUACUAAUAUUUUUUUCCAACAUCACAAUAAGAGUUAUAAGCUUACAAUACUUUCUACAAGUAUAUCAUAAGAAAGAGGCUGAAGAAAUUAUAUUGUUGGUCAAAUCGAUGCAAAAGUUGAAGUCGGAGUCAUCAUCGCUUCUUGACGGUGAUAACCACCGUAGUCACCGGGACCAAGGUCUACCACUGUUAUCUCUGUAGUUCUCAGGUACGUCUAUCUCUCCUUUCUCAUCGUCGUCCAGUCAAGUGUGUACGUUGUUUUAGAAGCUGCUUCUUUUUCCUUUCUACCACAUGUCUUUUCUUGCACCAUACUUGAAUUCAGGUCUAAAACAAUAUACAAAUACAUCUUUGUGGAAGAAAGGAAGAAAGAGAAAGAGAAAGGACGUGUCUCCGCUUAAUUGGUUUUGAGCAAGCUUUCUGGUGAUUGAACUCCAAAUGCUACUAAGGUUUGUGAUUGAUCUGCGGCGGAUGAAGUGAAAGUGAUUUUUUUUUUUUUUUUGCUUUGAAACUCAUACAGAUUUGAAGUACAUGCUAUUAUUUGCGAUUGCGAAACCCUAACUUUGAUCUCUCUUUACAUCUUCGCUUGAUGAAAGUGAAGCAGAGUUGCAUUAGGGUUUCAUGGUGGGUGAUAGCAACGGCAAAGGUAGUUCAUAGGAAGAAAAAGUGGAAUGAUUUGCUUGUGGAUCACUACAAGGAGAAGAAUAGAGUAACCGAGAGAGAAUCUAAAUAGAUAAUGACCGAAAAGACUUGCAACUCAGAAGAUGAAGAGGAUGGUUGUGUUACUUAAUUUUCUAAAUACGUCAACAAUGUCACGAGAAGGCACGUAACUUUAUCCAAAUUUUUCUUUCUUUUGUUUUUUUCAAUUGCAAUGAUAUAAGAUGUUUUUUCAUUGAUAUCAUUGAUAACAUGUAAGCUAAUGAGUUUAAUUUUGUAGAUGAUUAAACUAAGUGAUUUCUAUGUCGUUUUCCUUACGGUGUGCUGGAGACUUCGGGUAAACAAAAACGGGAAAGGUCUUUCAGAACAGGAACGUUUUGGUUGUCAACUUGGUGGAGGAUACCAAAGAUAAUACUUUUUGGUUGAUGAGGACUAGAGCCAAGAGAAAGCUUCUGACAUAGGACAAUUGGAAACACUUUGUUUUUUGUGUUGCUUUUAGUUUUCAUUUGUAUGUGUUGCUCCUUGCUAAGGUUCAGCUUUUUUGUUUGGCAAUAAAGUUCCGUUUUGUUGGUAAAAAAACGACUCAACUAAGUGAUGAAGAUCUAUCCCAUUGAGAUAUUGCUUUCUCAUAUAUUGGUGAGAUUUUAUAUGAUAUUUUGUUUUCACUGA